rnacentral:misc_RNA from 1 species
GUUCGUCAUGAAGUUCAGAGAAGUGAUCCCAAUACCCAGAUUCCAAGAGUUGAAGUGUUUUGAAACGAAGACCCUCGACGGACCGUUGUGCCUAUGACUGUCCGUCAUACUUGCCGUCGAGGGGAUUGAAGAGAGCAGCAGAAGAAAUUGCUAAGUAUGGGACGAUGGAGACGGUCCGUCGCGACCACGACGGUCCGUCGCGAGGUCCGUCGACCCAGCCGCGUUUUGGCAG